UGUCCAGCCCUCACCACAUCCUGAUAUGGAGGGGAUUGGAGUCCUCCGUGCUCAAUGCAAUAAGAGAGUUCACCACCAUCUCAGGAGAUACUAAUCUGAUUAAAAGACUUACACCUUGCUUAACAAGUAACAACUGAUAGAACGUGUGGGAAUCUCACAAAGCUGCACCAAGGGAAAUUCAGACUGGAUAUAUGGAAAGAAUGUCUUAGCCAUGAGGAUGGUCAAACACUGGAACAGCCUUUCUAACUACGUGAUUGAUGUCCUAUGCCUAUCGCAUGUGGAAUUAGUCACAUGGAUGUGGACAGAACGCACAAAGCAGGACCUUUGGAAGCUGUGUGACAUCACUCCAACUUCAGGGUUGCUCUUUGCCUGCAUGUAUACAGUAGCUGCUUUACUGACUAACAUGAAACAGUGUCCAAAUGAAGUGUCCAUCAACCAGUGCUGGCCUUCAUGUGCUGCAAAGGUGAGCUGCUAAUUUGCAUAGAUCCAGGCUCUCAUGGAUUAUCAGUAGUUGCUCAUGUGCUGCCUCAUACAGGAACACCAGUGCAGUAUUUCUUCACUCCCAAGCUUUCAUGAACUACAGCACCUGAAAAAAGAAUCUAUGGAGUCAUACAUUUGUAGCUGAGAUUUUAGCCAAAGCAGAAGUAGAGGGGUUAACUGACAAGAAUAAGGAUUUAGGGUUUUUGUCUAAAGGUACUUAAUUGAGUCUUGUCUUUUAGUUCAGCAAGCAGUGGAUCAAGACCUGUCAGAUGGAAGUGAAUUAUUUUAACUCUGGCAGUCAGUAGCAGAAUCAUAAUAAGUGGUGUUCACAAUAAAGAAAAAAUUUAGAGUAUCAUACAAGAAAUAAGCAUUGCAGAUCAAGAAUACCUGGUUACCUGUUAUCUUCUUUGUGCCAUUUUCUAAAAGGAAAGUAUUAUAUUUUACUGUGAAGAAAUUUGUGGUUUAAGUUCCUUUAAAUCACUAUUUUACUGCCUUUAUACUUAUAAUGAAUGAAGACAAACAAAAAAGGUAAUAAAAAGAGAAUAAUAAAACAUUUCAAGACUGAUGAAACCGGGGAAUUAUACCUACUUAAAGAUUGCUGUCUUAUACUUUCCAAAUACAUGUGAGCCCUGAACUAAAGCCGAUCUUAUACCUGGGCUGUUCAUAAAUGUGCUUUGUGGUAACGUCCCUUAAGGACAGAGUCUGUAUUUCAGAAUUUUCAUUACCUUGAUUAUAGCCAGGUAUUCACCUGGCUUCCUAUGUACUUCGAAGUUUUAGGAAUUUAAUAAUUUUCACACAGUUUACUGGAUCAAAAUUGAUUGGGAAUACAGUUUGGUCAUUGUAUAUGCAUAUUGUGGAAAUGAAUAAGAUGCAUUUGCAUAGGAAACUAGAUCAGAAAGCAUAACGGACUUUGUAUUGCAGUUGAAUUACUAUUUGCAGUAGAAAUGGAACAACAAUGUGAUGUGAAAACCCAUAUUUAGCCACAAUAUCUAUGGAGAAUGAAAGUAAAUUACUUGUACUCUGAUUUGGAAGAACCAAUCUAGAAGUAAGAUUUUAGUAUAUAACAGUAUCUUAUAACGUACAUAUCAGCAAAACUAUCAAUUGUAAAUAUUGCAAAUGUUGAAGAUCUCUGUGAUAGUCUAUUUUAAUUACGUGUAUGACAUCAUUGGCAUAAUUCAAAUAGAUUAUCAUGUAUUUUCAGAUUGUGGUAUUUUUAGGUCUCCACUGAAUUGGACGAAGUUGCCUGGAUUGCCCUGUUCACCAGAAUACGCUUUAUUCAAAUGUAUGCAACUAGAUAAUAAUUGAAUCAGUCUUAAGUUGGUGACGUGUCACUGCUUUAUGGGCCAGAUAAUAAAAUAGGACAGGGCAAUAGUCAAAUAUUUCAAAGCCUUCUCUAAGCUAUUGAUAAUUUUUCCCAUAUGUUUUGAAAACAAAAUAAUUCAUAAUAAUGAUACUAGAAUACAUGCCAUUCGUUCUAAUAAAAGGCCAGCUGAAAAGAUAGGCAAAAGCUGGACUAGCGUUCUUGGCAACAAUACCCACUGUUCUAAAUGCAUUCUGAAUCAGAUUUAAUUUGAAUUAAGUAGAA
ensembl:lncRNA